CACGUUACUGGUUCAUACUCAUGUCAAUCAAACUCAACGUCACUAAAGGGGCGGGGCCAAGCGGCAGAUGGCUUGUGUCGUCAUCGACUCGUGCGCAGACGUUGCCGGCCGCGCGGCGCAUGCGCACUGCCCUCCCCCGCCGCCUCGUCGCGCCCUCUCCCCUCCCCUUGAUGUGAGGCCCGGCCCGGGAAGGUCCCGCCCGCCGCGGUGCCUUGAGCCUGAGGCGGAGACGCGGCUGCGCGGGCGGUGUGGGGGUUUGCUGCUCUCCCAUAUCGACUUUGGGGCGGAGUAAGGUGCUGCCCCGCCUCGGGUUUCCCCCCUCUUUAGCUGAAGACCGUAAGCGUCAGCCGGCCGCGGCCUGUCCGUGUGAAGAUGGCCGCCGGCCGAGCGGGUCGACGUGCAUCAAGGCCCAGCAGGCCCGUGUGGGCCGACAGGGAUGUGUGGAGCACUCGUACCAUUCUGACUGUUUUCCUGCGGUUUUUAUAUUCUUACUUGUCGUUUACUUUGUGUCAGAAAGCAUUCUGACAGAUGGACGUGACAGAAUUCCUUUGUGCCCGCUUUAAACACGAAUUCAGAGCACCUUAUAUUCCCUUCAGAACACAUGCUUGUGUCUAACUGCUCCAGCCGUGCUACUUUAAGUCAAAGCAAAUGUUCAGGACAAGCCGUGGCUCGUAACAGAUGUUGCUGUGUGAGCAGACGUGGUGUUUCCCGCUGUCCGUGCCUCCCCUGUGAAAUACCUGCGGCUCCACAAAUAACUGGCUCCAAGCACAGAGCAUCUGAUGCAGUCAAUGCCCUUGUGUGCUGAGAGCAGGGAACCUCCUGUCCAUGGUCAUGAGCCAGCACAUAGCUCUGAGGGCACGGCCGGGCUCUGGCUGCAGCACAGCGCAGCACUGUGGGAGCUGUAGUUUCCCAGGGCUACAAGGGAACCGCAGGCUGUGCUGCAUUAUGAGGAGCACUUGGUGAGGAAGUUUUCUCAGCCCAGCGAUGAGAGCUGGGGGAAGAUGACUGUGUGUGUGUCAGAGCAAGGAAGGGCGAUGACUUCAGCAGGCAGCCUGUUGAGGAACGAGCAGUGAGGCAGCACUGCGGAGUGUUCUGCAGCAGAAGGCCUGGCAAUAAGUGGUGACUGCUGGCAUCCUGGGAGUCUCCUCGAGUCUCACGUGUGUCUGAGAUGAGGGUGACAGUGGAUUCGAGUGACGGAUUAAAACGUUAAAGCUCUCCAGUCCUUCAAGGAAAAAUUCAAAUUUCCCCAAAGAAAAGCCAGAGUUCCUUGACAUGCCUCAUUUCUUGGGAACCGUUCCUGCAGGACAUCUGCAAUAGUUAAACAUUUUUGUUUCUAGCAUAAGGAUUAAAGAAUUGUCCCAAGCAGCCGAGCCAACACCAGGCUGCUGACUGCAAAACAUCACGGAAACGCGUUCCAUUUGUACCAUCCUCAUUCAAGUGUCUCUUGCAUAGUAAAAGCAUUUUGCAACACAUACGGGCCACCGGGAGUUUAUUCAUGUCAUUGUUCAAUGAAGAAAUGCCAUACGUGAGCAUCUAGAGAAGGACAGAUUUCUUUAAAUGCCACCAAAUGUACUGUUUUGGAAAAGAAUCAUGUCUGCUAAGUCAAAACAAGAUGACAGAUCUACAAAGGCUCGUCCAAAUGGAAUGCCUCCUAUUUUAUGAUGUUGGUACACAGCGUUGGAGGUGGAUGUUGGUGGGACAGCAGUAGAUGUUGAACCUUCCCAGUCAAAUCCCAUUACAUGUUGGUGCUGUGUGACAGAUGGCAGCAGAGGGGCACUCUGACAGCGUGGAGUCUGACAUGGAAGUGUGGGUGGAGCAAAGGUGUGUCAUUGAAUUCCUUCAUGGGGAAAAAUAUGGCACCCAUUGACAUUAAUUGAUGUUUGAUGAAUGGUUAUGGAGAACAAAGAGCAGAUGCAACACAGCGAGGGGGUGAGUGGUGUGUUUCAGCAGUAGCAAUAGUGAUGUGAACAAAUCUGCUCUAUCAAACAGCGUUGCUGUGCUCUUUGAAUCUGUUGUAGUUUCCAUAGAAAUAAAUAGGAGGCAUUACUUUUGGAGUGACCUGAUGGAAAGAUGUGGUCUAUGCUCUUCCUGCUCUAAUAGCAAGUUUUCUUCUGUCUCCCUCUGUUUCACUGAGAUGAGCCUAUUUAGUAUAAUGUCUAUGUUAAUUUUUCUGUACACAAGCGUUCAAUUAGUACAAUAUGUGUGUAAUUGCUUGUUGUGUUCGCUAAUCAUGUGGCUAAAUAAUCUCUCCAUAAGUAAAGCAGGAAGAAUCAUACACCAUCAGUCAAGGAAAACAUGAGUAUAAGAAUUCCUACAGAAAGAUUCUGUGAAAGUCUUAAUUCUCAAGAGAAGAGGACACACUCCAUAAGCCUUGAUGCUGCUGCUGCUGCUGAGCCGGCCCUUUUCUUUCUUGCCUUUGGUCCAGGCUGGUGUUUCUACAAUCAUCCUUGAUUUUGCUGUAGGAGUAUUUGCUCAGCACUACAAGAAAUGGAAUUCAUUAUUUCACUGAUCAAUCUGUUUUAUGUUCUGUCUUUGGGAAACUGAAAGAGGUGGAUUCAAAAAUAACAGGGAAAGAAUGAGGAAGCUCCUCCAGGCAGGGACCGGCACUGAUGGAGCCAGCAGAACAGGAAGAACAACAAAAUAAAGACCAAUAGGCCUUUCUCGUUCAUGCACGUUAUUGCUAUUUGUCUUCCUUGAGGUCUCGUAUACCCAGGAACUCCCCCGUCAGCCCUUGCUCUCUUCAGUUUCUUGACAUAAUGCUUUCUGGUGGGAAUUUCCAAACUGCUCUUGAAGAAUUAACCUUUGAAGAGUUCUGGCUUCCUGAUUAUUAACACGGUGUGAAAAUCUUUUUUGCAAAAGCAGUGAUUUUAUUUCCAGAGUAAAAGGAAAGAAAAGGCAAUGAACCUGGGAGAAAGAAGAGAGGGUGAGUGUGAGCACAAGCUUUGCACGAGGUGCACAUGUCUGUGCCUGUGACAGCAGUUCCCUUGCAGCACUUCAGGCUGCUCCAGCUCUCAGGCAGAAAGCUCUGAGCCAGGCACUUGUCCUGCAAAGUGACUUACAGUACACAUUAAACAACUGUGCUUCUCUCCAGGGCUGUGCCCUGUCACAAGAUCUGGGUCCCUGCAUGAGUUUCCUCACUCCCAGGAACCCCCAUCUGUGCUGUUUCAUCCUUCCUCCCCAGGGCUUCCACCUACACAUGGAAAAUCCCUUCCCGUCUGGCAAUGGGUAUGGCAAUGGUGCUCCCUCUCCCACCUCCUCCCACCCCCACACCCACAUGGAGCUGCUUCCCUUCAGCCACUGACUUUGAACUCUGACUCUUUGGCUUUUUCCACAUUGUUUGUGCAGUCCCUUAAAAACCAGCUGUGUCUCCCCGCCUGCAGUUCCUCCAUGUGUUCCUCUGCUGUCAUUUUGUUGUAUGUAUGGGAUAAGACUACAUCUCUACAUCUCUUCUCACAUGGUAGAAGAUAAUAUAGGAUGUCCCACAAAUUUCUAGAUAGCCAAUCCUCAAGCUUUUGAUUGUCAUAUCUCAAAAAUAGCCUGUCCAUAUAUCUAAGCACCCCCCAGCUUCCAAAAACCCAUCCCUAGAGUGUAACAUAAUGUUAUUCCAAAUCAGACCAACACUCUGCCUUUAGUACUUCUCCAUCACUUCCACCAUCUGAUGCUUAACAAAGCUCCAACACACUGGGACAAGUAGAUAAAUUCAGCAGUGCCUCCAGCUGGUGGCUUUACUCCUUUCCAAGGCACAGACAUCUGGAGCACCAGGUCACACACUCCCGCUGCCAUCAGCUCACUUUGCUAAUGAGUCUGGACUGCAGCAGCCAAAGGGCUGAUUCACAACUGCCUGAGCUGUGCUUACUUGGAGGGCAGCGACAUCCGGCAAGAGGAUGGGAAAGGUGACUAACAGCAGUGACAUCUUUAGGCAUAUACUGACCCUUGCAAUGUAGUAUUUCUGUGACUCUGCAGUUGCUGACCCAGAGGGAUAUCCCAUACAAUUGUUUAGAGAUGUAGGAAAUGAGAACAUUGGACUGGAAAAAGUUUCCUACUUCCUUGAAAGUAGCGCCUGGCUGCUGCACUGAGGAAUGAGCCACAGGUUGGAAGUAUCCUCAAAAUGUUGAAACAUCAGGACACCUUCAGGAUUAAAUUACACUCCUUUAUUAUAAAUUGUUUUCAGCUCUCAAAUUGUAAUCUGUGGAGAGGAAGGCAUCGAUUGCAUUGGGUUUGCAGGUCUGCAAAUGUGUAUGUGUAAAUGUAUGCAUUGAAAAGGUGGACAUGAGUCUUAGGGCUCUCACGACUCACACUCUGUGAGCUAAAAAGAAGUUACUGGCCUGUAUUUGCCCUGUUUGCAGAUGUUUUUUUGCAGAAGCUGCUGCAUAUAUGGGAAAAAAUCCUUCCAUUUAUCAAGACGUUACCUUGAGCAUUGAGGCAGGAGGUAAAAAGAGUACUGAUAACUGCAGUCUGCUAAAACACUGAAGUAGCCUCCAGAGAAGGCAGGAAAAUUCAAGUGUCAGAGCGGGUUGGAACUACAUGAUCCUUGAGGUCCCUUCCAACCCGGGUAAUUCUGUGAUUCUGUGGGUUCCUACAUGCAUCACAUCACUGAAGGCAGCAGCCUUCAACCCUGGCAAAGCACCGAUGAUUCUGCAAGGACUUCUUUUGCCAGGUACAAUUAGGAAGAAAUGUUGGAGGAUAUUAAAUACAAAUAUGAGUAUGUUUGGUGGGAAAGGGAAAUGAAGAUAGGAAUCCUGCUUUUUGCUUAAUGCAGUAACUGCAGACAUCCAUUACAUUGUCUAAUACCCCAAACCAAGAUGUAAAUGCUGACCAUAUACAGCCCAAACUACCCCAAAGAUGUAUUUUUCUUCCAGUCUUAUCAAGAUAAUUAAAUGCCUCCAGUGUGAAACAACACUCCACUCCACUGGAUAGGAUGGGUUACCUGCAAAGCAAGGCACUCUGAAUGAUGGCAGCCAGCUUUGUGCUGCAGUGUCAGCACCACCUGAAUGCUUGCUGCUCACAUUCAAAAUACAAACCAGCUUGUAUUAAAUAUAAUUAAUAUUCAUUGCUACACGUUGAGAUUGAAUAAAGGUAGUCAGAUGCCACAUUUGGCUUUGACUUCACCGCUGUGGAAGUGUUAAUCCUCGCUCUCAUCUUGCCUCCCACAGUCUGUUGCCAGUUCUACAUCUAUAUUUCUUAAAAGCUCAGCUUACCAAACUCCCCUAAAUGUGAACUACUGCUGAUAAUAGGAAGGAGCGCAAUGAUGUGAUUCCACCUGCAAACAACUCUACCAGUUUCAGUUCCAUUUCAGGACUGCAGCUAAAUUCAUCCUUCCUAUUUUUAAGUCUUCAAAUGGAAUUGCCCCAGGGAGCCUUCCAGAUGUUUAUCUCUGUGCUCCCAGCCCUGCUCUUUCUAUUAGUCUAAUUGGUAUCUUCCUCCUCUCUGCGGCACAGCACAAUCCUGGCAUUGCUGGUGUGAGGAACUCCUCCACAGACCCCACAUAUAGCAGCAGUUUUCCAGCAAUUAACUCUCAGUCUUUGCUCAAAUACGUGUACUGAUAUCUGCAGCAUUCCUAUUUAAAUAUUCCUCUGAAAGUCACGGCAAAGAGGAGGACAAGCUCGCAUCUCAUUUGUUUUCAAUGGCUUUUAUGAAGCAAGAGAGAAGAUACCUUUUUUAUUCUGCCCUGGAGUUUUGGCUUGCUUGUGCUUUGACCUCUUUGGCUUUGCUGGCUGGCACAGAGCAUAGAGAAACCAGGGGGUGGCAGUGACAAUAGGAGCUGACAUCCGAACAAUCAGGGGGCAAGAGUUCCUAAUCCAACUUCUUCUGCAUCCUAUUGACCUCCGAUUCCUAACAAUACUUAGGAGACAACCUUCUCAGGGAAAAAAAUCAACGGUCACAUCCCUACCAACAACCAGAGGGCUUCAACUUCAGCCCUUUGGAACAGGAACAGCAAAGCUUCAUCAUUUCAUUGUUCCUUUUACACACCAAAACUGAGACUUUUUUGUCUGUUGUGCUGAGAAUUUCCGACCUGAAAUCGCAUCUCAGGACACUGAAGGACAUUGCACUGCCUCUGAGAUCUGCCUGCUUGGAGCUCCCUGCAGGAUCAGAGCUCACAUCUGAAAGUUAUAAAAACAAUCAUGUCCUCGAGAACCUGGUUUUAUUCAUUGCAAAGCAAAAUCUAUUUUCCCAAGUUUAUCUUUAAACUGUUUUUCUGUUAUUAGAUUCACUCGUUCUAAUUUGUUCCCUUUCUAGGAUCUGUUCUCUGCUGCUUACAACAAAAAGAUGAAUUCGCCCUAUGCUGGGACAUUCAUCUAGAGUAAAAAUGCCAACUGCAGACAUCUCAGUUGCCUUGUUCUAUUUAAUCACUGCGAGAUUUAGUGAGGUUUGCUUGUUAAACAGGCUACAAAAAUAAUCUUCAAUACUGGAAUCCGAUCCAUCCAUGCAGACUCCGCUGACUUCAUUGGGUUUACACGGGCUGAUCAAAUUGCAGGAUCAGUUCCUACAUUUGUUCUGAGCUCUGCCAGACUGUAAAUACGAGAUUGAAAAGAAAUCAGAUCCACUUCUUAAUGCACGGCUGUCCAACCUUCUGGAGUGCCUGGGCCGCACCGAGUAAAGAGGAAUUGUCUUGGGCCACAUAUACAUAAGUUGCUCUGAAAGUAAUGCCUCCUAUUUAAUUCCAGGGAAACUACAACCGGCACAAAGAGCACAGUAACAAUAUUUGAUCAAACAAAUCCUCAGCUACAAAACGCUGCUUUUCAACACAGUCACCACUGUUAGCUGCGCAUCUUUGCCACUGAUGAACAGCAGCCUGCAUGCCAUGCUUAUAGAAAUCUGCACCAGUGAACGUGACCCACUGUCAUUGCUUUUACUCCUCCUGAACGUCAUCCUUGACAACUGUUCUCAAAUGUGUGUGCUGCCAAAAUAACACCUAUUGAAUAAGGUGUGGCUGUGAAGCGAAGGUUAUUUCUCUCUGCUAAGAGAGAUGUUGUGAAAGUCUGGUAAAGAGACACGAUCAGAUUGUAGCAUUGAAUGCCUGACUGCAGAUCUAUACACGCAGGUGAUGUAUUUGUAUGAACUGGAAAUGGUGCCACAGACAUAAAUUGAUGAUAUUUUUGGCAAUCUUGAAAGCUAUUCUCAACCCCCUUUAUCAAACCGGAAGGCACAGCUGCAUGUUCUUUGCUGUACAGAGCACUGUGUGUAGCCCAUGUAUCAAACAACAUACAAUUCUCUGCCAUCACUUGAGUCAGCGCUGUGCAGCACUGCCCUCCCUGUGCCCUGGUUUCAGUAUUAGUAGCAGUUUGGCUGUUGAGAGCAAUGGCUGUGUGCCUGGGGCCACUGAGUGGGGCAGAGCCACUUCUAUAGUGUGGGGCAGAGGGCAGCCUGUGGGUUGGACAUACCAGCCUUAAUGUAUGAUGGAUAAUUCUAACAUGACAACUAUUCAACAUAGCUGUAGCAUCACCCAUGCUGAUGCUAUAAGAGUAAAGUUUCUGUUCUUGGUGUCUUCAAGAACCUCCUGGGGAGACAACACAGAAAGAAAUCCUUUCUAUGAAAGAUGUGGCUUUAGGAGUCUUCUCAAAAAAUAUACUUUAAAUCACAUUGUAAAGCUUGAAACUACGGGAUGCAUUCAGGUGUAAUGGAUUUCCCACCUUUUAUUAUUAAGGAAUAAUGAUUUAUGUGUCUCCUUAAAAGCUAAUGGUUGUUCAAUUAAAGAGAAAUCAUUAAAC